rnacentral:lncRNA from 1 species
UAUUAGGUCAUGGGUUCGAAUCCCGGCUCGGCCACUUGUCAGCUGGGUGACUGUGGGCCAGUCACUUCACUUCUCGGUGCCCGUUACCUCAUCUGUAAAAUCGAUUAGAUCGAUUACAUCGAUUAGACUGUAAGCCAGUGACCUCAUCUGUAAAAUGGGGAUGAAGACCGGGAGCCCCACGUGGGACACCCUGAUUCCCGUGUCUCCCCCAGCGCUUAGAACAGUGCUCGGCACAGACUAAGCGCUUAACAAAUACCAACAUUAUUAUUAUUAAGCCCGUCAAACGGCAGGGACCGUCUCUAUCUGUGGCCGACUUGUUCAUUCCAAGCGCUUAGUCCAGUGCUCUGCACGUAGUCAGCGCUCAAUAAAGACGAUUGAAAUACUAUGGAAUGAGUAAAAAUGGGGAUGAGGCCUGGGAGCCCCACGUGGGACAACCUGAUGGCCCUGUGUCUCCCCCAGCGCUUAGAACAGUGCUCGGCACAGAGGAAGCGCUUAACAAACACCAACAUGAUUAUUAUUUUUAUUUAUUAUUAUUAAGCGCUGAACAUUGGAGCGAGGGAGUGAAAGGCCGUGAUGGCGGCCCUGAGGCGAGGGGGACACCGGAAGUCCCGCCCUCCGGGCCGAAGAGGCUGCCGGGUAGCGGUUUAAUGCCCGGCCCCCUCAGCCCUGCCUCCUUUUCUCUUUGCGCCUUCGGGCCGCCGCACGGGUCGCGCUCCGCUCCGCCAUUUCCUCCCGCUCCGCCGUCCCGCCCGCUCCGCCAUCCCCACACAAGUGAGUACGAGGCGCCCACCGGGCCCGGACGCUCUGGGCCCCCGUCCGACCCCGCCCGACCCCAACCCGGGGAAGGAGGGCCACAAAAUGGCGGCCGACGGCAGGACUGGCCCCAGGCCCGCCUGGCGGAUGCGUUACGUCGCCGCCUACCUCCUGGCCGUCCUCGGGGGCAACGACUCCCCGGCCCUGAAGGACCUCAAGAAGAUCCUGGACAGCGUGGGCAUCGAGACGGACGACGAACGCCUGAAGAAGGAGUCAUCCUCUCCCGUCUCCCGUCCGGAAAAGAAAGAUCUGGCGUUAGGCGUGUGGUCACUCUACAGACUCACUGUCCAGAGACCCGGUGA